GCCAACUACAGGAAGAGGUCUCGUCACCAACGUGACUGCCCACGUCUGCUCACACACGUAGCUUCUGGUGUACAACUCAAAAAAAGAAAAAAGGAGAAAAAAAAAAAAAGGCUGGUCAACCUUGUAAGGAUGCAAGGGUGGAGGGAACCAACAAAAACCAGCUGUGAGGAUGUGCUUACAGUGAUGGGUAUAUUUUUAUUCAGCACAGGUUCUACAAGAGUAAGCAGUAAUUAAAACAACUAAGAAGCCUGGACAUAGAACAGGAGAAGUUCCCACAUGUCAGCCCCUGCUGGAACAAACAAUAGUCAUAAAAGGGAAAAGACCAAAUAUAUGUCCACCU
rnacentral:lncRNA from 1 species